CCGCAAGGUUAAAACUCAAAUGAAUUGACGGGGACCCGCACAAGUAGUGGAGCAUGUGGUUUAAUUCGAAGAUACGCGCAGAACCUUACCAACACUUGACAUGUUCGUCGCGACUUUAAGAGAUUAGAGUUUUCGGUUCGGCCGGACGAAACACAGGUGCUGCAUGGCUGUCGUCAGCUCGUGUCGUGAGAUGUUGGGUUAAGUCCCGCAACGAGCGCAACCCUCACUUUUAGUUGCCACCAUUAAGUUGGGCACUCUGAAAGAACUGCCAGUGAUAAGCUGGAGGAAGGUGGGGAUGACGUCAAGUCCUCAUGGCCCUUACGUGUUGGGCUACACACGUGCUACAAUGGUAUCUACAACAGGAAGCAAGACUGCGAAGUUAAGCAAAUCCCUAAAAGAUACCUCAGUUCGGAUUGCACUCUGCAACUCGAGUGCAUGAAGCUGGAAUUACUAGUAAUCGUGGAUCAGCGUGCCACGGUGAAUGCGUUCCCGGGUCUUGUACACACCGCCCGUCACACCAUGGGAGUUGGUUCUACCUUAAGGCAAGGUUUCAAACCCUUGACCACGGUAUAGUCAGCGACUGGGGUG
rnacentral:rRNA from 1 species